CCUACGGGUGGCAGCAGUGAGGAAUAUUGGUCAAUGGACGCGAGUCUGAACCAGCCAUGCCGCGUGCAGGAAGACGGCUCUAUGAGUUGUAAACUGCUUUUGUACGAGGGUAAACGCAGCUACGCGUGUCUGUCUGAAAGUAUCGUACGAAUAAGGAUCGGCUAACUCCGUGCCAGCAGCCGCGGUAAUACGGAGGAUUCAAGCGUUAUCCGGAUUUAUUGGGUUUAAAGGGUGCGGAGGCGGGCGGAUAAGUUAGAGGUGAAAUCCGGCGGCUCAACUUCGUAAUUGCCUCUGAUACUGGUCUGCUAGAGAGUAGUAGCGGUAGGCGGAAUGUAUGGUGUAGCGGUGAAAUGCUUAGAUAUCAUACAGAACACCGAUUGCGAAGGCAGCUUACCAAGCUACUUCUGACGCUGAGGCACGAAAGUGUGGGUAGCAAACAGGAUUAGAUACCCCAGUAGUC
rnacentral:rRNA from 1 species